rnacentral:rRNA from 1 species
AUUGAACGCUGGCGGAAUGCUUUACACAUGCAAGUCGAACGGCAGCACGGACUUCGGUCUGGUGGCGAGUGGCGAACGGGUGAGUAAUGUAUCGGAAUGUGCCCAGUCGUGGGGGAUAACGUAGUGAAAAUUACGCUAAUACCGCAUACGAUCUAUGGAUGAAAGCGGGGGAUCGCAAGGCCUCGCGCGAUUGGAGCGGCCGAUAUCAGAUUAGGUAGUUGGUGGGGUAAAGGCCCACCAAGCCAACGAUCUGUAGCUGGUCUGAGAGGACGACCAGCCACACUGGAACUGGGACACGGUCCAGACUCCUACGGGAGGCAGCAGUGGGGAAUUUUGGACAAUGGGCGAAAGCCUGAUCCAGCCAUUCCGCGUGCAGGAUGAAGGCCCUCGGGUUGUAAACUGCUUUUGUACAGAACGAAAAGGUUUCUACUAAUACUAGGAGCUCAUGACGGUACUGUAAGAAUAAGCACCGGCUAACUACGUGCCAGCCGCCGCCGUAA